rnacentral:rRNA from 1 species
GACGAACGCUGGCGGCGUGCCUAAUACAUGCAAGUCGAGCGGACCAACCAGGAGCUUGCUCUUGUUUGGUUAGCGGCGGACGGGUGAGUAACACGUGGGUAACCUGCCCGUAAGACCGGGAUAACUCCGGGAAACCGGAGCUAAUACCGGAUAACACCGAAGACCGCAUGGUCUUUGGUUGAAAGGCGGCUUCGGCUGCCACUUACGGAUGGGCCCGCGGCGCAUUAGCUAGUUGGUGAGGUAACGGCUCACCAAGGCGACGAUGCGUAGCCGGCCUGAGAGGGUGACCGGCCACACUGGGACUGAGACACGGCCCAGACUCCUACGGGAGGCAGCAGUAGGGAAUCUUCCGCAAUGGACGAAAGUCUGACGGAGCGACGCCGCGUGAGCGAAGAAGGUCGUCGGAUCGUAAAGCUCUGUUGUUAGGGAAGAAGAAGCGCCGUUCGAACAGGGCGGCGCGGUGACGGUACCUAACGAGAAAGCCCCGGCUAACUACGUG